UUGACUAUUCGACCUCAAAUCGGGCGGGACUACCCG
rnacentral:rRNA from 2 species